AGCGAAAGCGUUAAGUAUCCCACCUGGGGAGUACGCCGGCAACGGUGAAACUCAAAGGAAUUGACGGGGGCCCGCACAAGCGGAGGAACAUGUGGUUUAAUUCGAUGAUACGCGAGGAACCUUACCCGGGCUUGAAUUGCGACUGACUGCAUCAGAGAUGAUGUUUCCAGCAAUGGCAGUCGUGAAGGUGCUGCAUGGUUGUCGUCAGCUCGUGCCGUGAGGUGUCGGCUUAAGUGCCAUAACGAGCGCAACCCUUUUCCCUGUUUGCCAUCGGGUAAUGCCGGGCACUCCAGGGAUACUGCCAUCGUAAGAUGUGAGGAAGGUGGGGAUGACGUCAAAUCAGCACGGCCCUUACGUCCGGGGCUACACACGUGUUACAAUGGGCGGCACAGAGGGCAGCGACCGCGCGAGCGGCAGCCAAUCCCGAAAUCCGCUCUCAGUUCGGACUGGAGUCUGCAACCCGACUCCACGAAGCUGGAUUCGCUAGUAAUCGCGCAUCAGCCAUGGCGCGGUGAAUACGUUCCCGGGCCUUGCACUCACCGCCCGUC
rnacentral:rRNA from 1 species